rnacentral:lncRNA from 1 species
UUAUUGUAAUUAGGUCUUUCCACUUUUCUGUGGAAAGACCUAUUGUAUUUGUUCUGAUUAUUAUUAGGUCUUUCCACUUUUCUGUGGAAAGACCUAUUGUAUUUGUUCUGAUUAUUAUUAUUAUUAGGUCUUUCCACUUUUCUGUGGAAAGACCUAUUGUAUUUGUUCUGAUUAUUAUUAUUAUUAUUAUUAUUAUUUUUUUUUUUUUUUUUUUUCUUCCGCCAAAUUUUGUUCUUGCGAUAAAUGUUUAUUUCGCAAUAUGUCGCUUAGAUAUUUCUCAUAUGGUAUCGUAUAGUUUAUGCGCUUUUAAAUUUCACCCUGCUAAGGCGAACCAUUUUCUUUGUAAGAGUUAUCUCCCCUUUCACUGUUUAUCAUCAGAGUGCAUCUCCUCCGUAACCGUAGAAAAAUGCGACAAAUUUAUUUUAUAAAAUUGCUCGUUAUAUCCUUCGCAUGAUUUGUCCUAUUUUAACCGAAGCGAUAUGAACACUCCUUAUGAGAGUUAUUCCCCCUUUUGCAUUUGAUAUUAGUAAUAUGCAUUUCUAACUGGUAAACCAUAGGUAAUAGAGACCUAGGGUCUUUUGAUUUAAGGUCCUUGGUCCAAAAAAAUGAAAAUUAGGUCAAGGUCAAAGGUCAAGGUCAUAUUCUAAAUUUUGAUUUUGGCUUAUUUUCACUCAUUUUCAUUAAUCUUAUCAGAUAUCGACAAAUUAUUUUUACUAAAUUGUUAGUUGCGACAUGUCGUAACAUAAUAAUUUUGGUUGAAAGGUGCGUAGACAAUAAAUGGGAGUUUUAGCCCUACACAUCUAAAAUUAUGCGUAAAGUGAUAUUACUUAUUAACCAUGCAUAUUAGAGACCUAGGGUCUUUUGAUUUGAGACCCUCAGUUUGUGACCUUGAAAUUGAGGUCAAGGUCAUAGGUAAAUUUGGCGUUUUAGAUUAUGACCUUUGGUUAAAAUUCAUAUCUAUACAUCAUAAAGCCAUAGGAACUGACAUUUUAGACUGAUUUUUAAUAUUUUAAUAUCAAAAUAGAUAUUUACUGGUGGAAAGACCUUCAAUUGUUCUCUGAACAAUUGGUUUUUAAUUAUUAUUAUUAUUUUUUUUUUUUUUUUUUUUUUCUUCCGCCAAAUUUUGUUCUUGCGAUAAAUGUUUGUUUCGCAAUAUGUCGCUUAGAUAUUUCUCAUAUGGUAUCGUAUAGUUUAUGCGCUUUUAAAUUUCACCCUGCUAAGGCGAACCAUUUUCUUUGUAAGAGUUAUCUCCCCUUUCACUGUUUAUCAUCAGAGUGCAUCUCCUCCGUAACCGUAGAAAAAUGCGACAAAUUUAUUUUAUAAAAUUGCUCGUUAUAUCCUUCGCAUGAUUUGUCCUAUUUUAACCGAAGCGAUAUGAACACUCCUUAUGAGAGUUAUUCCCCCUUUUGCAUUUGAUAUUAGUAAUAUGCAUUUCUAACUGGUAAACCAUAGGUAAUAGAGACCUAGGGUCUUUUGAUUUAAGGUCCUUGGUCCAAAAAAAUGAAAAUUAGGUCAAGGUCAAAGGUCAAGGUCAUAUUCUAAAUUUUGAUUUUGGCUUAUUUUCACUCAUUUUCAUUAACCUUAUCAGAUAUCGACAAAUUAUUUUUACUAAAUUGUUAGUUGCGACAUGUCGUAACAUAAUAAUUUUGGUUGAAAGGGUGCGUAGACAAUAAAUGGGAGUUUUAGCCCCUACCACAUCUAAAAUUAUGCGUAAAGUGAUAUUACUUAUUAACCAUACAUAUUAGAGACCUAGGGUCUUUUGAUUUGAGACCCUCAGUUUGUGACCUUGAAAUUGAGGUCAAGGUCAUAGGUAAAUUUGGCGUUUUAGAUUAUGACCUUUGGUUAAAAUUCAUAUCUAUACAUCAUUAAGCCAUAGGAACUGACAUUUUAGACUGAUUUUUAAUAUUUUAAUAUCAAAAUAGAUAUUUACUGGUGGAAAGACCUUCAAUUGUUCUCUGAACAAUUGGUUUUUAAUUAUUAUUUUUUUUUUUUUUUUUUUUCUUCCGCCAAAUUUUGUUCUUGCGAUAAAUGUUUGUUUCACAAUAUGUCGCUUAGAUAUUUCUCAUAUGGUAUCGUAUAGUUUAUGCGCUUUUAAAUUUCACCCUGCUUAGGCGAACCAUUUUCUUUGUAAGAGUUAUCUCCCCUUUCACUGUUUAUCAUCAGAGUGUAUCUCCUCCGUAACCGUAGAAAAAUGCGACAAAUUUAUUUUAUAAAAUUGUUCGUUAUAUCCUUCGCAUGAUUUGUCCUAUUUUAACCGAAGCGAUAUGAACACUCCAUAUGAGAGUUAUUCCCCCUUUUGCAUUUGAUAUUAGUAAUAUGCAUUUCUAACUGGUAAACCAUAGGUAAUAGAGACCUAGGGUCUUUUGAUUUAAGGUCCUUGGUCCAAAAAGAUGAAAAUUAGGUCAAGGUCAAAGGUCAAGGUCAUAUUAUAAAUUUUGAUUUUUGCUUAUUUUCACUUUUCUUCAAAAACCGUAUAACAUAUCGACAUGCUAUUUUUACUGAAUUGUUAGUAACGACAUGUCGUAACUUCAUAAUUUUGGUUGAAAGGGUGCGUAGUCAAUAAAUGGGAGUUUUUAGCCCCUUUCAUAUCUAAAAUUAUGCGUAAAGUGAUAUAACUCAUUAUCCAUGCAUAUUAGAGACCUCGGGUCUUUUGAUUGGAGGUCCUUGGUUUGUGACCUUGAAAAUAAGGUCAAGGUCAUAGACAAAUUUGACGUUCUAGAUUAUGACCUUUACUUAAAAUUCAUAUCUAUACAUCAUAAAGCCAUAGGAACUGACAUUUUAGACUGAUUUUUAAUAUUUUAAUAUCGAAAUAGUUAUUUACUGGUGGAAAGACCUUCAAUUGUUCACUGAACAAUUGGUUUUUAAUUGUUA